rnacentral:rRNA from 1 species
UACGUAGGGGGCUAGCGUUGUCCGGAAUCAUUGGGCGUAAAGAGCGUGUAGGCGGCCCGGUAAGUCCGCUGUGAAAGUCGGGGGCUCAACCCUCGAAUGCCGGUGGAUACUGUCGGGCUAGAGUGCGGAAGAGGCGAGUGGAAUUCCUGGUGUAGCGGUGAAAUUCGUAGAUAUUGGGAAGAACACCGGUGGCGAAGGCGGCGCUCUGGACCGAGACUGACGCUGAGGCGCGAAAGCGUGGGGAGCAAACAGG